rnacentral:rRNA from 1 species
UCUGAGAGGAUGAUCAGCCACAUCGGGACUGAGACACGGCCCGAACUCAUACGGGAGGCAGCAGUGGGGAAUAUUGGACAAUGGGGGGAACCCUGAUCCAGCCAUGCCGCGUGUGUGAAGAAGGCCCUCGGGUUGUAAAGCACUUUCAGUGAGGAAGAACGCCUGGUGGUUAAUACCCAUCAGGAAAGACAUCACUCACAGAAGAAGCACCGGCUAACUCCGUGCCAGCAGCCGCGGUAAUACGGAGGGUGCGAGCGUUAAUCGGAAUUACUGGGCGUAAAGCGCGCGUAGGUGGCUUGAUAAGCCGGUUGUGAAAGCCCCGGGCUCAACCUGGGAACGGCAUCCGGAACUGUCAAGCUAGAGUGCAGGAGAGGAAGGUAGAAUUCCCGGUGUAGCGGUGAAAUGCGUAGAGAUCNGGGAGGAAUACCAGUGGCGAAGGCGGCCUUCUGGACUGACACUGACACUGAGGUGCGAAAGCGUGGGUAGCAAACAGGAUUAGAUACCCUGGUAGUCCACGCCGUAAACGAUGUCGACCAGCCGUUGGGUGCCUAGCGCACUUUGUGGCGAAGUUAACGCGAUAAGUCGACCGCCUGGGGAGUACGGCCGCAAGNGUUAAAACUCAAAUGAAUUGACGGGGGCCCGCACAAGCGGUGGAGCAUGUGGUUUAAUUCGAUGCAACGCGAAGAACCUUACCUACUCUUGACAUCCUGCGAAUUUGGUAGAGAUACCUUAGUGCCUUCGGGAACGCAGAGACAGGUGCUGCAUGGCUGUCGUCAGCUCGUGUUGUGAAAUGUUGGGUUAAGUCCCGUAACGAGCGCAACCCUUGUCCUUAUUUGCCAGCGCGUAAUGGCGGGAACUCUAAGGAGACUGCCGGUGACAAACCGGAGGAAGGUGGGGACGACGUCAAGUCAUCAUGGCCCUUACGAGUAGGGCUACACACGUGCUACAAUGGUCGGUACAAAGGGUUGCCAACUCGCGAGAGUGAGCCAAUCCCGAAAAGCCGAUCUCAGUCCGGAUCGGAGUCUGCAACUCGACUCCGUGAAGUCGGAAUCGCUAGUAAUCGUGGAUCAGAAUGCCACGGUGAAUACGUUCCCGGGCCUUGUACACACCGCCCGUCACACCAUGGGAGUGGAC